AACGAGCGCAACCCUUGUCCUUAGUUUACCAGCACGUUAUGGUGGGCACUCUAAGGAGACUGCCGGUGACAAACCGGAGGAAGGUGGGGAUGACGUCAAGUCAUCAUGGCCCUUACGGCCUGGGCUACACACGUGCUACAAUGGUCGGUACAAAGGGUUGCCAAGCCGCGAGGUGGAGCUAAUCCCAUAAAACCGAUCGUAGUCCGGAUCGCAGUCUGCAACUCGACUGCGUGAAGUCGGAAUCGCUAGUAAUCGUGAAUCAGAAUGUCACGGUGAAUACGUUCCCGGGCCUU
rnacentral:rRNA from 1 species